UUGGCCUCGCCUACGCGAGGUAUAGGUAGUUGUUGUGUGUGUCUGUCAUUGCCCUCGCCCACGCCGUAGGCGUAUAGGCGAGGGUACUGCGCUCGUGCUGUCAGUGUGUGUGUUUGUGUGUUAGCAAAAUUUUCAAUCAUGGAUGAUUUUUUGGCUCAUGCUACUUUUUAGUCAAGCUCUUCAGAGCAUUUCUUUUGCCAAUUAGGUGGCAAAAGUCGGCAGCGUUUAAGAACAGAAAAAGUUUACGAGUAACUUUGGCAUAGUUGAAGCUAUGGUACCUUUGAAGGCAACAACAGGUAAAGGAAAACAUGGAGAACAAAAAUUAUGUGUGGAAUUGUUUGAUUUUCCUUCGUUUGUGAGAUAUGACAGCUUAAGUGUGACUUACCAGCCAUUUUGUAGCGUAGCGGCUCCUCUCUGAGAAGGUGGCUACUGCCUCGAAACUGAAGAAACUGGAUAUAGGAAUUGCAUGAAACAAGUAGAGCCUAACAAAUCUGUGUAAAACUGUGUGCAUGCCUAGAAAAACCAAAGCUUUCUGUCCACAGUAAGGCCACAUGGCACCAUUUUACUAAACUGGGCGGUGCAUAUUUUUGAUUGAGCUGAGCCACACCUUUCAUUCCAGCCACACCUUUAAUUGCUGCAGCAGCAAGGUAGCUGAACAAAAAGUCAGCAACAUUCUUUCUAAUUUUUCUUGAAAAAACCAUUACUGUUUCACUUUU
rnacentral:lncRNA from 1 species